AGUGAACGCUGGCGGUAGGCCUAACACAUGCAAGUCGAACGGCAGCACAGUAAGAGCUUGCUCUUACGGGUGGCGAGUGGCGGACGGGUGAGGAAUACAUCGGAAUCUACUUUUUCGUGGGGGAUAACGUAGGGAAACUUACGCUAAUACCGCAUACGACCUAUGGGUGAAAGCAGGGGAUCUUCGGACCUUGCGCGAUUGAAUGAGCCGAUGUCGGAUUAGCUAGUUGGCGGGGUAAAGGCACACCAAGGCGACGAUCCGUAGCUGGUCUGAGAGGAUGAUCAGCCACACUGGAACUGAGACACGGUCCAGACUCCUACGGGAGGCAGCAGUGGGGAAUAUUGGACAAUGGGCGCAAGCCUGAUCCAGCCAUACCGCGUGGGUGAAGAAGGCCUUCGGGUUGUAAAGCCCUUUUGUUGGGAAAGAAAAGCAGCAGGUUAAUACCCCGCUGUUCUGACGGUACCCAAAGAAUAAGCACCGGCUAACUUCGUG
rnacentral:rRNA from 1 species